rnacentral:lncRNA from 10 species
GACAUGUGAGCUUGGGGUCACGAGGUUUAAUGAACACUUUGCACCCUGCUGGCGCCUUGAAAGUUGAUGCUUUCACAGGCGGCCGGGGCAUCUGCCGGCAGGUUUUCCAGUUCAGCAUUUUUCAUUUUGCAGUCAAGGCAGGAGAUGGGGGGAGAAGUGAUAAAGUGGGACCUGGGGCAUCUGCCAGAGCUAUGCUGAUGCUCCCCUCUGUGCUCCUGGCAGAAGCCACAGCCAAGGGGAACACUGGUCAGCCGGCCACCACCCUGCACCCUGACAAAUGGAGCUGAAGCCACAGAACACGUGGGCUGCUGUGUGGAGCUGGCACUCCUGCCGGGCUGCCUCUCCAACCCAGAAGCUGAGGCUCCCCAGGAAAGUUCCAGCAGCAGCAGCCAGCCAGCCUAACUCCAUCCUGGAGCACACCUGGUCUCAAAUCUCUGCAGACUCACUCUCCGAGAGGAGCGCCUUCGUGGUGGGUUGAAUCGAUGCCAUUGGGACAUCACUAACAGCAACACACAGUACAUCAAGUUAUUUUUUUCCUGUUUUAAUGCAUGGCUGAGCGGGCAAGAGUGAGCAGAAGUCCAGAGAGGGAAGUGGGGUCAAGGCGAGAGGAGCCACAGCAGUCCCCUGUGGCCAGGCGCAUUGGAUGCAGAACGGCAUCAAAAUCUGAGACCACGCAGGAUGGAAAAUCAGGCCUGAGAGUGCCACAGGGAGCUGGCACCUCCACCAGGUGAAACCCUCGACGAACAACUUAAUAAAAAUUGCUUAUCAAGGGAGACAAUACGGAAACUUGCCUGCCUUAGCCCUGGCUCUGGGAAGGUGCAGGGAAGGACUUUUCUAAGAAUUCCUAACUAUAAGCCCAUAUUCACGCAGCCUCCGCAUCAGAAUUUAGGUUUCCUGUGUGUCCUAAACUCAAGCUGAGAAUGAGGCUAAUAGAGGCUCUAGCUGGUCAUGUUCCAAGGCAUCCGGCAGCCUAUGUGAGUUGUUUCUGGAAGAACCCACCCCAAGCCAGACUCAUAGACUCUUACAGAUAGAACUCUAUUCAACAAGAAUUCCUCUUCAAAAAAAUCACAAAAUAUAUUGAUAAACUGCCCAACAUGAGUGAGAUUCACCAGAAGGAGCAAACAGCAGAAUAAGACCUAUGAACAUUGGAUACAAAUUACUUUUUAAAAAAUAAGUAUACUUUAUAUAUUUACAUGUGGGAGGGGAUAUAAAAAAAUAUGACUAAGGAACACAAGACUAUCCAAAAUAACCAAUCAGAUUUGAAAGAGAGAUAAAUAGAACUUACAACAACAUAUGUGUGUGUGUGUGUAUGUAUAUAUAUAUGAAGAAAUUAUAGCUGAAAUUAGAAGUGUAAUGGUGUGUUUAACAGAGGAUAUGACACUGUUUCAGAGAGAACUAGUGAACUGGAAGACAAAUCUGCAGGACAAAGAGAUUUCUAAACAGGUUCAAGAUAAGCGGCAUGAAGAACAGAGCAAGGAAGUAGAACGUUCAUUUACUCAGACUUCUAGAAGAAAACAGAGGAAGGCCAUGUUGAAGAGAUAAUGGCUGAGAAUUUUGAAGGGUUGAGAAACCCCAAACAGGGUA